AUGGCUUCUCGUCCUUGUCCUCGCGCGUUCGCCAUCUGCCCGAAAAAUGAAAAGAUGACUCCUGGCAUAUGCAAGCUGCUAUUCGAGACGCCAUCCGGCUUCGCCAUUUUCUCUUUUGAUAUGCAAUACCUCCACAAAGAUAUUGAGGACACCUGGCACUACUUCGUGGGCGACUACUGGCACUACUGUAUCCUCACGCUGCAUGCUUUCCGAAAGUUCGAGGAUAAGUCCAGUGCCAUCAACAUCACCACCGGGGAAUUAGGCGGCCCACUGGCCAACCUGCUCUUUGAAUACUGCCUCACUGAUGAACUAAUCCUUGUUGGAAAGCCUGAAUACAAAUCAAUAAUCGAAGAGAAGCUGAGGCUGCCCUGCCGGUGCGAUGAGAUGGUCAUGGAGGUUAUGUGGGGUCUGCAGAAUCUCAUGCCUCUUUUAAUCCCUCAAGAACAAUCUGAGUUCACAAAGGCAGACCGGCUCCCCAUAUGCAAAGGAUUGGAUAUGCUCUUGUCUCGGCACGGCAUUAAUAAUGUCAAGCAAGAGCUGAUUAAUGAACAUAUUCUUCGGAUGGCUCUCAAGGUGUAUCAUGCUGAUGUACGUGAAAACGAGCAUUCAAUGUUCUUGCGCAGACGUCUUUACAAGGAUCUGAAGGCCUCUGGAUUUGAUGUCAAGAAUUGGGAUUUACUCAAACUUGUAACAGCGUUGAAGUCGAUGGUCGAUCCUGAUGGAACACGUCUUACAAGACGUGCCGAGUAUAAUGUAUUCUCGCCCGAGGAGCUUGCGCUGAUGGAUUCUGAAGCACCUAAAUAUGAAGAUCUGAUAGAGAGGGCCACAAUCUCGAAAAUCUACAAUGACAUUGUCGCUGUCCGUGCCUACGUGGUGAAAGUCCUCUUGAAACUGCGCCACUUGGUUAAGAAGGCUGAAGCGGCACUGAAAACUGAAGAUGUGCUGGAGAAGGCUGCAACAAAUGGUGUCAACUCCAUGCAUCAAGUUGACAAUACAUGUUUAGCACUGGAUCUGGUGGAAGUACCCAACCUAAGUAGCAUUGAUGAGGAGCAACAAUGUCAUAUCACAGAUGCAGAUGCAGAUGGUCUAGAAAUCUUGCCACCGAGUAAUAGUGCCGAUGCAGAUGGUGUAGAAAUCUUGCCACCCAGUAAAAAGUGUAGAAGGAAAGAUGCAUGA
rnacentral:rRNA from 1 species